rnacentral:lncRNA from 10 species
GCAGCUUGAGCAGGAACAAGGAAAUAGCAUAAGACAAACCAGAGGUGGGGUGGCAUCAGGUCACCUCAGGCUGCCUUCCUCACAAGGAUUGAAGCAGAGGGACUUUCUUACCACAUAGCUUACAACUGGAUCUCCCUUCUGAUUUCUCAAAUGUCAGAUAAACAACGUCGUUUCAGUUUGGUGACAUGGAAUUUAAGUAUGAGUGACUCCAUUUUGGAACAACUCUGUGGGGCUGCUUGGAAGCCCCCGGAGAGAAGCCUGAGCUGCAUCUCACCGUGUGUUUCAUCCAUGGCGUGCUCCCAGCUCUAGCGUGCGUGGAGAGAGGUCAUGGAGUGUGGUUGCUUUACUUUCUACAAAAGUUCCGAAAGCAGGAGCCCACUGGUUUCAGCAGAAUAUACAUCAUCAUGAAGUCCCCAGGAGAGGUGAACAAGGAAGGAAUGCUCUCCUCACGUUUCUGGAAGUUCCCUGAGGCCCUGCCCAGCUUCUCUUUGGUGAUAGGUGAGACCCAGGUGCAGCAGCCCAGCCGUGCUGGGGGGGACUCGGCCUGAGCAGAAGGCAGCAAGAGGAACCUGGGUCCACCCUUCUGUCCUAGUCCAUUAGUGCUGUUACAACAACAUACCCGAGAAUGGAUAAUUUAUAAACAGCAGGAAUUUAUUUCUUAUACUUCUGGAGGCUGAGAAGUCCAAGAUCACUGCACCAGCAGAUCGGGUGUCUGGUGGGA